GAUGAAGAACGUAGCGAAAUGCGAUAAGUAGUGUGAAUUGCAGAAUUCAGUGAAUCAUCGAAUCUUUGAACGCACCUUGCACCCUUUGGCAUUCCGAAGGGUAUGCUCGUUUGAGUGUCAUUGUACUCUCACACUCUCCGAUCCUAUGGAUUCGGGGAGCGGUGGACUUGGGUGUUGCUGCCUUUCCCUGUGGCUCACCUCAAAUGCGUCAGUGCACCUCUUGGUUGGACAUAGUACGGCGUGAUAAGUGUCUUCGCCGGCACCUCGCAAGAGGGUGGCCGAUCGGGAGCUCUGCGCUUUCAAACCGUCUUCGGACAAUUUCUGACAUCUUGACCUCAAAUCGAGUAGGACUACCCGCUGAACUUAAGCAUAUCAAUAGCGGAGGA
rnacentral:misc_RNA from 1 species